UGAGUGUAUUGCUCAUGGUUCUAGCCUGAG
rnacentral:piRNA from 1 species